rnacentral:rRNA from 1 species
UGGGGGAUAUUGCACAAUGGGCGAAAGCCUGAUGCAGCGACGCCGCGUGGGGGAUGAAGGCUUUCGGGUUGUAAACCUCUUUCGCUAUCGAACAAGGCCCGCUUAGGGUGGGUUGAGGGUAGGUGGAGAAGAAGCGCCGGCUAACUACGUGCCAGCAGCCGCGGUAAUACGUAGGGCGCGAGCGUUGUCCGGAAUUAUUGGGCGUAAAGGGCUUGUAGGCGGCUUGUUGCGCCUGCUGUGAAAACGCGGGGCUUAACUUCGCGCGUGCAGUGGGUACGGGCAGGCUUGAGUGUGGUAGGGGUGACUGGAAUUCCAGGUGUAGCGGUGGAAUGCGCAGAUAUCUGGAGGAACACCGAUGGCGAAGGCAGGUCACUGGGCCAUUACUGACGAUGAGGAGCGAAAGCAUGGGUAGCGAACAGG